CCUACGGGGGGCAGCAGUGGGGAAUAUUGGGCAAUGGAGGAAACUCUUACCCAGCAAUGCCGCGUGAGUGAAGAAGGUCUUCGGAUUGUAAAGCUCUUUGAUUGGGGAUGAAUAAAUGACGGUACCCAAAGAACAAGCCCCGGCUAACUACGUGCCAGCAGCCGCGGUAAUACGUAGGGGGCGAGCGUUGUCCGGAAUGACUGGGCGUAAAGGGUGUGUAGGCGGUUUAUUAAGUUAGAAGUGAAAUACCUAGGGCUUAACCCAGGUGCUGCUUCUAAAACUGAUAGACUUGAGUGCAGUAGAGG
rnacentral:rRNA from 1 species